CCCAGAAGCCCUGUCAGUGCCCUUGGUGGUGAGACAGAGCAGGGAGAAACUGCUGGGUCCUAAAGCCAAAACCCCAACGCUUGUAAGGAUAGAACCAUGGGUACUAGGACCUGGAAAAUCCUGAAGGACGUUUUUUCAUGUUCUGGGACUUUCUCCAAAGUCACCAGCGCUUUGAAUUUGACCGCGCUGUAGCAGACGCCAUCGGUGUGAGUGAGGAAGACGAGUAAAUACAUUUCCAAUAAGCACACGAUUCUGUCCUGUGG